rnacentral:rRNA from 1 species
UGGCUCAGGACGAACGCUGGCGGCGUGCUUAACACAUGCAAGUCGAACGGUGAAGCCCAGCUUGCUGGGUGGAUCAGUGGCGAACGGGUGAGUAACACGUGAGUAACCUGCCCCUGACUCUGGGAUAAGCCUUGGAAACGAGGUCUAAUACCGGAUAUGUGACGUUCAGGCAUCUGAUGCGUCUGGAAAGAUUUAUCGGUCAGGGAUGGACUCGCGGCCUAUCAGCUUGUUGGUGGGGUAACGGCCUACCAAGGCGACGACGGGUAGCCGGCCUGAGAGGGCGACCGGCCACACUGGGACUGAGACACGGCCUAGACUCCUACGGGAGGCAGCAGUGGGGAAUAUUGCACAAUGGGCGCAAGCCUGAUGCAGCGACGCCGCGUGAGGGAUGAAGGCCUUCGGGUUGUAAACCUCUUUCAGCAGGGAAGAAGCGCAAGUGACGGUACCUGCAGAAGAAGCGCCGGCUAACUACGUGCCAGCAGCCGCGGUAAUACGUAGGGCGCAAGCGUUGUCCGGAAUUAUUGGGCGUAAAGAGCUCGUAGGCGGUUUGUCGCGUCUGCUGUGAAAACUCGAGGCUCAACCUCGGGCUUGCAGUGGGUACGGGCAGACUAGAGUGCGGUAGGGGAGACUGGAAUUCCUGGUGUAGCGGUGGAAUGCGCAGAUAUCAGGAGGAACACCGAUGGCGAAGGCAGGUCUCUGGGCUGCAACUGACGCUGAGGAGCGAAAGCGUGGGGAGCAAACAGGAU